AUGGAUCUAAGUGACAACCAGAUUCAGAUACUCGAGAGGACUUUCAAGGUGUUCCUCUACCCUGACGAGACCAAGCGAGCCCAUCUCGGCCGUGAACUUGGCAUGCAGCCCCAGCAGAUCAAAUUCUGGUUCAAGAACCGCCGUGCCCAGAUGAGGAGGUGUUUGUGCUUGACGCCAUGGCAGGCCACGAACGAGCAGGUUGACAACCAUUUAUCCGACUCGGAGAACCACGAGAUCGACUCAGAGAACGACGAGAUUGACUCAGAGAACGACGAGAUCCACCAAGACAAAUUCGCCAUGUGGGUUUGUGGAUGGAGGGCUGAUCCAUUGAAGUAA
rnacentral:rRNA from 1 species